UACUCAACCGCCGCUGUCUGGCUGUCAUCCGUCAAACCAAACGUCAAAGUCAAAUGUCAUCCGCAGGUGGACCCCUAUCAGUUUAUCAAUUUUUCCUCGAAAAGCCACACAUUCCGCACUUAAUGAAUUAAAACAAUGGCAAUAAACCUCGACAAACACCGCGACGAGCUCGUCUCCGCCUGGAAGGACGUCCUCGACGCCAAAACCGCCACAAACUGGGCCUUAUUCGCCUACGAGGGCCAAACCAACAUCCUCAAGUUCGUGAGCAAGGGCUCCGCCGGCAUCGAAGAGCUCACCGAGGACUUCAACAGCGGCAAAAUCAUGUACGCUUUCGUGCAAGUCGAAGACCCCAAAACGUCCCUAACCAAGUUCGUCCUGAUCAACUGGCAGGGCGAGGGGGCCAACACGCUCCGCAAAGGCAUCUCCGCCAACCACCUCCGCGACGUGGAGAAGUUCUUCACCGGCGCACAUUUGACAAUAAGCGCUCGCAACGAAGAGGAAGUGGAGCCCCAGCUCAUCAUCGACAAGGUGGCCAAGUCGGGGUCGGCGUACAGCUUCAAGGCGCCGCGGGCGGAGAUCAUCGAGCCGUCGGGGCCCGUGGGGACGACGUACCAGCGGGUGAACCCCAUUAAAGAGAUUAAUUCAAGGGAGAGGGACCAGUUCUGGCGGAAGGAAGAGGAAGAGGAGAAGAAGCGGGUGGAGGAGGAGCGGAAGCGGAAGGAGUUGGAGAGGAUGAAAAGCGAAGAGGAGCUGAAGAAGAGGGAGCUCCAGGAGACGGCCAAACGGGACGCGGAGAUGUCCCGCAGGAACAACAACAUCGAUUUGAUCAAACAGGCCGAAAAGGAGGCUGCUAGUAGUGCUGUGGAGGCGUCGAAUUACGACGAUUUCGAAGAGGAGUUCGUGAAUAGGGUGAAUCAGAGUGAGGUUUUGAGAAAGCAGCGGAAACAAGAGGCUGAGGAUUUAAUUUCGCAGAGAACGAUUGACGCUAGAUCAAUUUUCGAACAACAUACGUCAGCUGGGCAGAAAAAAACCCCCGAAAAGCCGGUCAGAAACUCGAUUUUGAAGGCGCAGAAUUUGACGGUUGAGGCAAAACCGUAUGAUAGCGACGAAGAGGGUGACCAAUUUUCAACAAUCAAACGUUCUCCGAAAGACUUGGAUAAGAAAAGUGUUACAAGCCCGACUUUAGCGGAGGCUCCUGUGAACGAGCUUCCGAAAGAGGAAAAAAUUCAACCCAUCGAACAAAUCACAGAUCAACAAUUUGUGGACGAAUACUUGUAUGAAUUUAGCACCCCAGGACUUCAAGCUAGAGCUCUUUAUGAUUAUCAAGCCGCUGACGACAGUGAAAUCACCUUUGAUCCAGGUGACAUAAUCACAAACAUCGACCAAGUGGACGAGGGCUGGUGGCAAGGUCUAGCUCCUAACGGUACUUACGGGCUCUUCCCAGCCAAUUACGUUGAGUUAAUGCAAUAAUUAUGACGCUUGUGCUUGUUCAGUUGCUCAGUUGCAUUUAAUCAAAUUUUUUGACGCAAUAAUUUGUCGAUAUAGGUUAAGUUCAUUUUGAUACCAAAAUUCUAACUUUUAAGUAUAUUCUGGCAUGGCACACUGCUAAAAGUAUUAAUUGAGCACUCAGGCGAUCAUACGUUUAAAAAGGCAACGCAGUGUUUUUUAAUUAUUUAUUAAUAUAGCGAAACUGUCACACGAUGUUUUGGAAGUGUCUGUGUUCACGUCACAAUAAUGCAUGAAUUGACACGUCACGAACUUGACGUUUUAGACAGAAUUUUGGCAACUCUGACACCCCAUAGCGAUCACUUUAGAUGCCUUUGACACUCACGUUUGAAUCACCCCUUGCCUUACACUAUUGUGCAAAAUUUUGUCAAGAACACCCAGAGGUGCUAAGUUAGAGUAAAUGUCGCCAAAGUGUGUCAUAACGAAAUUCGACUUUAAGUAUGCUUUAAUUUAGAAGUAUUUUCGUACGUUGCUUGGUGCCUCCAGAAGUGUCUAGUGUUCCCUUCGCUUUCGCGCCUACUUCGUUCGUUUUAAGUUGCAGCACUGCCAUUCCUAUUUCUGUGCCAACCUUCUCAAGCCAAAACCCUAGCCGGCGGUUUUGUCGACGACUAAUUUCGCUGUUUGUUACUGUGAAUUGAACUAGAUAUAAAAUUUAAAAAUAGUUAUACCGUUGAUAAAUCAUAAUUUUUAUAUAUUAUUAUACAUUAUACUUACGUUACGAGGUAUGAUAUACAUUUACAUAUACAUAAAGAUUGUUAGUUAAGAAACGACUUUAGCACAAAUUAACUUUCCACAAGACUUACGAUCGUUUGCACCCUUUAUAUAAAUCUUUACUUUGUGAUAUGCCUUUUUCUUGCAAUCAAUACUCCCCAGCGUUGUACCAGCACUUCCAGAAUAGAGGUUAGUUUUUAAAAAAAAAAUGGGCUCGAAAGAACCAUGAGAAACAAACUGACAACGGGAACAACAAUUGGAAGGUUAUAUGAAGAACUGGUAGAGAGAACCAACAACCAAUAGGUUAAGUCAAUCACCCAUUUAAUGAGGCGUUCAGCGACGUCCAAUUGGCGUAGAGUUGACCACGUGAUACUUUAAUGUGGUGUUAAAAAUUUAAUCGCAAUCAAAUACUUAAUUGUGUCUGUGUAAAGAGCAGUUAAGCGUUCAUCAUCAUCCUCUUGUUCGCACAAAAAAUUGCUUUCGAAAAAUUUGAUUUGGAAAAUGUGAUUUAAAGAAAUAAACGUUAAAAUUUGA